UAGCCAAGAGGAACGCACUCUAGGAGGGAAGUAUGAUCUCUUAGGAGCAAAAGAUGGAGGUCCGUGGUAUGAACACAGUGAACUCCAGUAUAGCAACAGCCUUUACUGGCCUCAUGCAGUGCUCUCAGGAACAGUGUGUGCUGUCUGGCUGCCUCCUCUGGGGACCCACCAGGCACCAAUGAGAACAGCCUGGUUUGGAGAUCCUUCCAGAAAGUUCUGUUAGCCUUGUGAUGGGCAGCAAGGACAGCACUUUAGUUUUUUUAUGAAAUGAUAGGACACCGAGUGGAGGCAAGAAGAAGGAUCAAAGAUUUGGGGUAGGAAUUUCAGCUGCAAACAUUCCCGAUCCUGUUUGCAGGAACUGCAGCCUCCAGGAGAUUCAGCCUGCUCUCCAAGCCAUCCCUGUCCCUGCCGGACUCCAACAGCAGCUGUGAUCUGGAGUUUGUCCAUUAGACCAGACCAAGUGGCCAGUGAACCGCAGGGACCCGCCUGUCUCUGCUGCCUCAGUGCUGGGAUUGCAGGAGCAUGCACCACGCCCAUCUUUUCAUGGGGGUUCUGGGAACAAGCUCUGUUUCUCAAGAU
rnacentral:lncRNA from 1 species